AAACUCGUCCUGAGCUGCUGUACAGAACGGGACAAACUGUGCAAACAUCUGUAAUGGAAAAGAAAGCUUCAUUGUGAAACAUACCAUACACUAAUGUAAUAUAUACAUUGCUUCUACACAAAGAUUCAGCUUCGAUUUUGAAUACAGGAACAAGCCAGCAGAAGUAAAAGAAUUGGGAGAGCAUCAAAGGAAGUUUUAUCAAGAGCAUGGAAGCAAAAGCAGGAACCAAAGCCAGUCUCCUAAAUCACAGGACCUCUAUCUUAAAGUGGAUGUUCGCUUCCAACUUCUGCUGUGAAGAACAGACCGUCUCUGAACUUAACAUUUUUCACAAGCCUGACGCAAGAAUUUAAGCUGAUCUCUCAUCACAUAGACUGUUAUUCUUUUAUGAAGCUGAAAUGUACUGGUUCCUGCAGGCCAACCCACAACUCCAACUGGACAAUGAAAAUAAAUCAAAACCAUUUUGAAAAACAUAUCCCUGACAGUCCUCUAAAUAAAGGAAGUUUGAUAGCAAAGGGUCAAAGCUCUCUUCAAUAAUUUCUGAAAACUAAAGGGGGCAUCGCUUUGUUUUAGUUCACCAGAGGUCAAACAACUUGUGACUGGAUCUACCACAGACUGAGACAGUGUGUUAUCUUGAAACUGUGGGCUCCUGGAGUGACCCCAGAAGAAAAGAAAUUACCCUGCACUGUUUGAACAAGAAGGCAAGGUUCUGUGCCUUCCUUCUCUCCUCACUCUUUAAUCUGCUCUCAAGCAUUACAACAAAUCUUAGUCCACAACUUAAAAAGUUUACUUGUGUUGAGAAGCAGCUCCCAAGAAAAAGAAAGUGCUCCUGUCGCUGUGGACUGGCAAGCAAAUCAGCUCAUAAUAGCCUGAAAGGACGGCAGCAAUCCAUUCAGCCCACAUGGCAGGGCAGGCGUAGCUCCACGCCGGCAGUUAGCAGGCAGCUCCCAGCAAUAACCCACCUCUAGCUACGGCAGCAGCCCCCUGUUUCCUCCCCCCAGAGCAGAACAGUUCCGGAUCCCACAUGUCCUGACCAGGACAUAGCCCACGGUUAAGCAGACAGUGGAGGAUUUCUCAGGGGAAGACAUUUUCAAGAGAAGAAUGAGGUUUGCAGGAGCAAGAUAGCUUAGGAGCAUCGAAUUGUAGCCCUCAGUCUGCAGGUGUUGUAAGGAAAAAGAAGAGAAAUCAGGCAAGUGGAGUGUUGAUUUGGAAAAAAGGUAAGUAGGAGAACGAGGGAGAACACAGCUUGGCUUCCUCAAUUGCUGUAAGACCAGAUACCUGCGCAGAACAGAUGCCACUAUCAACACUGGAAUGAAUUGCAUUUUGGACUUCCUUGUGUCAAAAGACAGGAGGGAUGGGCCUUUGUCUUGGCCCACAUAUGGAUUUUUUAAUCUGUCAUUACCUGGAAUGAUGAAUACCAACAUCCCAGUAACAAGAGCUGUAGAUACGCCAGACUCUGCUGCCAUGGAUAUUGAAAGGAAUUAAUAUGCUUUCUUAUUGAAGUAUCUUACACAUAACCUACUCUUUCCCCAGCGUUACUGAAGAGCAGGACUAAGGGCCAGCUCUUGAGCCUCUGGUGAUAGUUUUCUGGUUUAAAAAUGUAAGCUUGCAGGAGUCAUCUUCGCACCAGACCACAGUCAGAAGGCACCGAUCAGUAGCCUUUGAUGGUGAGCACCUGCUGCUUCAAGCAGUACACUGGAGCUAUCUGCAGCACAAUCUAUGGUCAGGCACAUACGUACUAGUUGUCUGUUCACAAGAGGAUCUGAAUACCGCAGCGGGGCCUUCACAGCCAAAGAUAACCAACUUUGUUAUUAAAAAACAUUACUGGGUCUGAAACCAUACACCACCAAACCUUGACAAUGACUGCUUUGCUGAUGAGACCCUUCACUUGCUAAGACUCAUUCCAAGAGCACAUGUGGUCUCCUCCAUCUUAGUACAGGGGCACACAGGGGGGAAAAAUAUUUUUUCAGGCAUUUAAACUGUAUUUCCUUAAGUCUGAAUUAUGUGUUAUUCUCUGGAACAAAGGAUGCUAAAAACACGCUAAAAGCUUAGGAGUCUGCCAGACUGCUACAGUAAUUAUCAAAGAAAAUGAACAUGUUUCCUUAUUGCAGUACUACAGUAAUACUUCAAUAUCUCAUGGAGAAACAAGCAGUGUUAGUAUUCUCUGAUCUCUGGCUGAUAUGCUUGCUCAUCAACAGCCUUUUUUUUUUUCUUUUGACUGAAGUAUGACUAUUAAGAGAUUACAUUCCUAUGGCAUUUAAUGAAAUUUCCUUUACUGAAUUUCCUUAAUAAGUCACAUGUAGUAUAAAAAUCAGUAUUUCAACAUGAGUUUUUGUUUCUUGUAUAUAACAAAUAUCCCCAGCCAAAGUAUGAAGCAGACACAAAAAAACCAGUGAAACCUGAGAAAUCAUCUGCUCAUAACAGACUCCAUGAAUAGAUGUGCAAGUAUUCUGACUACAGCCUUGUCAAAUAAGCUGUCAGAAGACAAACCAGUACCUUGUUCACAUACAGAAACCAAGGCAGUAAUAUUGUUUCUGUGUUACUUACAAAUGGUUACUGAAACGAUUACAAGCCUCAAAUGGAUGUGUGUCCCUUUCAGCAUGACUAUUUAAAACUUCUUCAAAAAGCCAUGUCACCAUAAAUGCUUGAAGACACAAAGGGAAACUAGGGUACUAUUUUUUUAAAUAACAACAUCAGGAGAACUCGGUGCUUUGAAACCUUCAAUGUAACAGAUUUUUGUGCUACUACUUAUUUAUACAAGACACACAAAACCAGGAUAGCCCUAGAUGAGAAAAACAUUGUAAACAGAAAACUGUUUAACCA